GCCUAACACAUGCAAGUCGAGCGGAUGAGGGAAGCUUGCUUCCCAAUUUAGCGGCGGACGGGUGAGUAAUGCCUAGGAAUCUGCCUAUUAGUGGGGGAUAACGUUCCGAAAGGAACGCUAAUACCGCAUACGUCCUACGGGAGAAAGUGGGGGAUCUUCGGACCUCACGCUAAUAGAUGAGCCUAGGUCGGAUUAGCUAGUUGGUGGGGUAACGGCUCACCAAGGCGACGAUCCGUAGCUGGUCUGAGAGGAUGAUCAGCCACACUGGAACUGAGACACGGUCCAGACUCCUACGGGAGGCAGCAGUGGGGAAUAUUGGACAAUGGGCGAAAGCCUGAUCCAGCCAUGCCGCGUGUGUGAAGAAGGUCUUCGGAUUGUAAAGCACUUUAAGUUGGGAGGAAGGGUUGUAAGCUAAUAUCUUGCAGCUUUGACGUUACCAACAGAAUAAGCACCGGCUAACUCUGUGCCAGCAGCCGCGGUAAUACAGAGGGUGCAAGCGUUAAUCGGAAUUACUGGGCGUAAAGCGCGCGUAGGCGGCUUAGUAAGUUGGAUGUGAAAGCCCCGGGCUCAACCUGGGAACUGCAUCCAAAACUGCUUGACUAGAGUACAGU
rnacentral:rRNA from 1 species